GACGAACGCUGGCGGCGUGCUUAACACAUGCAAGUCGAACGAAGUGGCGAACGGGUGAGUAACUCGUAAUCAACCUGCCCUUCAGAGGGGGACCACAGUUGGAAACGCCUGCUAAUACCGCAUACUGAAGGCGGGGAUUGCGUCUGAUUAGCUAGUUGGAGGGGUAACGGCCCACCAAGGCGAUGCUAAGUAGCAGGUCUGAGAGGAUGAACGGCCACAAUGUGACGUAGACACGGCCCAGACUCCUACGGGAGGCAGCAGUGGGGAAUCUUCCGAAAUGGACGAAAGUCUGACGGAGCAACGCCGCGGGAGUGAGGACGGCCUUCGGGUUGUAAAGCUCUGUUAAUCGGGACGCGGUACCGGAAUAGAAAGCCACGGCUAACUACGUGCCAGCAGCCGCGGUAAUUC
rnacentral:rRNA from 1 species